rnacentral:lncRNA from 1 species
UAUAUAUAUAUAUAUAUAUCCCAUCACCGAUUCAAAACAAGCACUCUAUACCACCACCUGCCCAUCCCCCAGACCCCAAGUUCCCUAAAUAAAAAUAAUUUAGUUCAUGGUGAUUGUUACCAGUCAUGAUAAAAUAUAAGAAAAUAUAGACUUAUAAAUAUAUAUAUGUAUCUAAAAUACUUAGAGGUAGAAUACCGCCGGGUUCAUCUAUUGGCACAGGUCUUUUCUUGACUGCUUCACGUCUCCACUCUGCAGGAGCAGCGCGGGGAGAGGAAAGCUUAUCAGCUGUUUUGCGUAACCGGACUGCCAGCCUACCAUACUAUAUUUGUCACAAGUACAAGUUUGCCGUGAUGGCCAUUUUUAAAUUUCAGGCUGACCGCCACAAACUUAUGAAGUAAUGUUGUGUAAUCAACAACGAUAUCAAACGUUUUACUCAGGUCACAAAAUGUUGCCUGUGCAAAGUUCUUAGAUUUCAAAGCCUGAAUGACCUUACUAACCAAGGAUUCCAUGGCAUCUGCUGUGGAUCAACAUAUCCUAAACUUAAAUUGCUGGCUACAAAUUAUAUUUAAAUUAUCUAAAUAACAAGACAUCUGAUUGUAAAUUACAGUCUCUAAGACUUUUGAGAAAAUGGGGAUGGAAGAAAUCUGCCUAUAAUUGGUCUAUAAAGUAUGACGCUUAUACCACAGAAAGAAAACAAACAUUGUAUUCUAUAUCGAGUAUGAUGCUUGUACCACAGAAAACCAGAAAUACAGACGUUACUUAUUUUAAAAGUCAUAUUGACAUUAGAAUUUAAAAACUCCUGAAUACUAUGAAAUGGGUUUUUUUGUAACCAGAUAAUUAAUUUAUUUUGUAUGAAGAGCCAGUUUUUACAAACCUCUGCAAAGCAAUAUCAAGUUUACAUUUAUUUCUUGUAGAGUGGUAGUGAAUAUCUUAACCAUUAGACUUAAUAUUUUUGUUGUAUCAGCCCAUUCUUAAUAAAAAUAGUGAUACAGUGUUUUUAAUUGGGCUGUAAUACAGGAAAUCCUGGGUUACAAAAUAAUACAGGAAUUGGAAUUGAAUUUGAGAUUGAAAAUCAAGACCACAAUUUUGGUUGGAAGUAUUGGUCCUACGGGGAUCAGUCUGGGGCCUUUGCUUUUUUUAUCUUCAUUAAUGAUAUACCAGUAUUAAUAAAAACUAAAUAUAUUUAUAUGCAGAUGAUAAAACUUUGUUCCUCAUUCAUAAUAAAAAUUAUUAUUAACAUUAAAAGAAGCUACCAACUCUGGUGAUAUUUUAAAACCAAACUAAAUAUUUUUUCAGGUUCUAACGUGGCUGUCACUGCCAUUCCACUACAUCCUUGAGAAAAUAGAGGCAAUGCUUCCGUCAAAUUUACUCCAACAGCUUUCACGUAUUUGAUUUGAAGUAACGAAGCAUUUGUGAACUACAAAUCAGCUUCCACCUCAACACAAAACUGUGCAGAUGUUUUUGUGCCAUUUGUGACAAUUUCGAAACUUGGACAUCGUCAAGCAAUACUGUGAGGACGUUUGUGCACCACACGUGACGUUAUUUGUGAAGUUCAAACUAGUACUCACUUUCACACAAAAGUUAAGGGAUUUUAGUGUCACUGGUGACAUUUGUAAAGGAAAAACUUGGCACCUAGAGAUAAAACUCGAGAGAUAUUGUUGGGCCGUCUGUGAAUUAGAGUGAGUUUAACGUACUUCCCACCUCUUAUUACAUUUUCGUUUAACAAUCGGCCUUAAGGUUGCUAAAAUCGUUGUUGACUACUUUUUUUAAUAUUUACAAAUCACGUACUUCUAUACAGUGCUUUGAAAACUGCCAAUUCUUUCCUCAGGUAUAAAUUAGGGUUAAGCGUAGAACUCCUUCAUGCAAAAGACACCAUACAUUUUCAUAAAUGUAAUAUUUUGUAGUAAGAGUGUUUGUGCCCGGUGUAAGCUAGUGUAUUCCCUUUAAUAAUUUGGGUAAUGAAACAUUAAAUGGGUGUGCGGAAGUACCAGGUUUUUUAAUGUGUUGAGUUUUUUAUACAGAACAAGAACUGAAAUUUUAAGUGUAGUCAGCAGCAAAGUCUGAUGGCUUUAGAGUGUUAAUUUAUUGUAAAAAUAUUGGUAAAUGUUAUCUUGUGUUUAACUUGUGCAAGCACAAGUACUUGAAUAUACGAGUAUAACGUAACAGGCUGUGCUCAGUAAACAUAGGGCUCUCUGGCCUUCUUCUAAAAAAUUUGUUGUCUUGAGAUGAUUCAUGCAGAUAAAUUCCACUUGUUCCCACAGUGAAGUGAGCAGCUGUGCUGAUGUGUACACGUGUACUGUAUAAGUGUACUGGUCAACCCACCAGUACAGUUGUGUUCAAGGCAAGUUAAUUUUCCUCCGAGUUAUUGUCAUGUCUAGCUCAAUUACAUUCUUCAUAUAUUGGCUACACAGUUAACAAAAUUUCACAGGGUGUUUAAAAAAUAAUUUUCCUCCUGUUACAAUUGAUGAGAAUUUGCCAUUUUCACUGAUUUUUCUCUGUCAACUUCCUGAAAGUAUGGGACCCGACUUUCAGGAACUUGCCAAAACACAAAUUAUCUGUGAUAUAUUUAGUCGUGUUUUAUUUACUCUCCACUAGCAGUUUCUCCAAUAGUAAGAAACUGGCUGCUAUCAAGCAUAUCGAAUUUUACGGAUCUUACGAACCUGCUCAUCACAGUUAAAUAUUCCACUUCCACAUACCUCACCAAUGCUCAAACACAGUUUCUGCUUAAUACACUAGCAAAGUAUAAAAAAUGUUUUGUAUAGAACAUUUGGUAACUCUCAUAUGAAGACAUCUCUGUACACGACACACUAGUUGUGACAUGACAUUAUAAUAUUAAACAUAAAAUGUUUUUAUUGCCACCAGGCAAGCUAAAAUUAAAUAAUGAUCACACAUUAUAUUAAAUUAUACAGUUUUUAUAUAAUAUAAUAUAAAUAAUUAUUAUUGUGUUGUUUUUCUUGUUCUAAGUAAAUAAUUUUUCCUUGCCUGGUACCCCUGAGGACUCCUGUUCAGGGAGAAAGUUCUGCCCAGAUAAACAUGCAAGUUAUAAUCAUGUGUCCUGUUGAUUGAGGUCAUUCUCUUCUCACAUUUUACUUUAAAUUCUCAUCCCUGUUAGUUGUAGUAGAGGUUUACUUUCACAUAUUUCAUUAUAUUCUUGAGAAAAAAUAAGAAAAUUAUUUUAAAAAAAGGUCUUUCAAUUUGUGUUUUUAGACAGAGUAUAUUUUGUAAAACCGUAAUGCUGUACCAUAGAGAGUAUGUAUUUCAUACAUAGAGAAGAACUUUUGGCUGGAAACAAGAGUAUUAAUCAAGCUGCCCUUUACCAUGUCUUUUCCAUGUACGAAGUAUACAUUCUCUAGAAGUAUACUUUUGUGGUAAACAUAAGGUUUUAUCAUAUUUGUUUCACGAUCAUAUGUUUUUCCUAAAUGUAAAUGUUAUUAUUUUUGAAUCUUUGUUAUCACAUUGUGUGUAGUGUAGAGUCUUACUGGGAUCUACAGUUUUCUUUUUAGUUGUAUAUGGAUCACUUGUUUGGGUUUUAAUUAGAUAAUAAAGUUUCACAGAAAUGUUUGUUUUACUUUA